UACGUAGGGUGCAGGCGUUAAUCGGAAUUACUGGGCGUAAAGCGUGCGCAGGCGGUUUGCUAAGACAGGUGUGAAAUCCCCGGGCUUAACCUGGGAACUGCGCUUGUAACUGGCAAGCUAGAGUGUGGCAGAGGGGGGUGGAAUUCCACGUGUAGCAGUGAAAUGCGUAGAUAUCUGGAGGAACACCGGUGGCGAAGGCGGCAUCCUGGACCGACACUGACGCUGAGGCGCGAAAGCUAGGGUAGCAAACGGG
rnacentral:rRNA from 1 species